UUCUAUGUUCAUCGCUUGUCCAGUAAACAUGUCUUCAUCACCAGUCUGCGAGUCAGAGUCUUGCCAGCAUUUCUUACAGUAUUUUUUGGUGCCGAAACCCGGGAACCCCGUCGGAUUAGAAGAAAGGGAAAGCUCAUGAUCCUCCUGCACCUGCUAUUUACUGGAUGAUGGAACGACUUGCACAACAGCAACCAGGAACCAUCUGAGCUGUCGCAAUUGCUGAAGAGGUCAACCACAUUGUUGUAUAUUAUAUAUACGUUCGUUCUGAAUCCAUUGCCCCAGAAGAGCGGAGGUCUACGCGUGACGCACCUUGCUGACGGCCUCUGCCCUUAUUUCAAUGCACGCGGACGAUGCGGUACUGACCGAUACCUCUUGCGACAUCCUGCUUACGAAUUCGGAUGAUGACAUAAACAUCGACCAAACCAGGCCAAAAUUCCAGAAGAACUCCCGACAUUGUUAUUGUCGUCAAUCAUGGAACGUCGACACGGAUGACUGCCUUAUGAACUUCAUCACCAACUGACCAUCAGAAUCAUUACCGUGUGUCUGAAUUCGCCUGCCUUCAUCAAAUUGUGUCGCCAUCGCCGUCGCCGGGAGUGUGUUGUGGAAAUAAAGAGGAGGAAGCCAUCUGCCAACCAUCCUCAUCGACAUCACUGAUAUCACCCUCAAUCACGCGCUCAGUCGUUCGCUCGAUUCACUAAAAGAUAUGCCACCCUGAUGCAGGAGGUCCGUGCUGGUCCGAAGGCUGAUAUGCGAAUGCGAACCAUAUUUCUUGGUAAAGGGUUCAUAUCGAAGUUCACGAUCUCUGUGUGGCUUGUCCUGUAUUCUUGGCUUGGAUGUAGGGACGUUUGUGACCUGUGACUCCUGAUGACGUGUGGGCGGCGGAGGAUCAGGCGAAAUUCAACAUAUGGCUGCGCCAUCACAGAAGUAUGCUGUAUGAAGCAGUCGUGGUCGCCUGGCAUUACAGGGACUGUGCUCCACUGUUGGUGACUGUUUGUGCAUGUGACAUUAAACAUGGCUGUGCAAGCA